CGCUUAUGCGUUGUUGGGUAGGGGAGCGUUCUGUAAGCCUGUGAAGGUGGCCUGUGAGGGUUGCUGGAGGUAUCAGAAGUGCGAAUGCUGACAUAAGUAACGAUAAAGCGGGUGAAAAGCCCGCUCGCCGGAAGACCAAGGGUUCCUGUCCAACGUUAAUCGGGGCAGGGUGAGUCGACCCCUAAGGCGAGGCCGAAAGGCGUAGUCGAUGGGAAACGGGUUAAUAUUCCCGUACUUGGUGUUACUGCGAAGGGGGGACGGAGAAGGCUAUGUUGGCCGGGCGACGGUUGUCCCGGUUUAAGCGUGUAGGUGUGUGUUCCAGGUAAAUCCGGUUCACUUUAACACUGAGGCGUGACGACGAGGCACUACGGUGCUGAAGCAACAAAUGCCCUGCUUCCAGGAAAAGCCUCUAAGCAUCAGGUAACAUCAAAUCGUACCCCAAACCGACACAGGUGGUCAGGUAGAGAAUACCAAGGCGCUUGAGAGAACUCGGGUGAAGGAACUAGGCAAAAUGGUGCCGUAACUUCGGGAGAAGGCACGCUGAUAUGUAGGUGAAGCGGUUUACCCGUGGAGCUGAAAUCAGUCGAAGAUACCAGCUGGCUGCAACUGUUUAUUAAAAACACAGCACUGUGCAAACACGAAAGUGGACGUAUACGGUGUGACGCCUGCCCGGUGCCGGAAGGUUAAUUGAUGGGGUCAGCGCAAGCGAAGCUCCUGAUCGAAGCCCCGGUAAACGGCGGCCGUAACUAUAACGGUCCUAAGGUAGCGAAAUUCCUUGUCGGGUAAGNGACGCCUGCCCGGUGCCGGAAGGUUAAUUGAUGGGGUCAGCGCAAGCGAAGCUCCUGAUCGAAGCCCCGGUAAACGGCGGCCGUAACUAUAACGGUCCUAAGGUAGCGAAAUUCCUUGUCGGGUAAGUUCCGACCUGCACGAAUGGCGUAAUGAUGGCCAGGCUGUCUCCACCCGAGACUCAGUGAAAUUGAACUCGCUGUGAAGAUGCAGUGUACCCGCGGCAAGACGGAAAGACCCCGUGAACCUUUACUAUAGCUUGACACUGAACAUUGAGCCUUGAUGUGUAGGAUAGGUGGGAGGCUUUGAAGCGUGGACGCCAGUCUGCGUGGAGCCGACCUUGAAAUACCACCCUUUAAUGUUUGAUGUUCUAACGUGGACCCGU
rnacentral:rRNA from 1 species